rnacentral:rRNA from 1 species
AAAUUGAAGAGUUUGAUCAUGGCUCAGAUUGAACGCUGGCGGCAGGCCUAACACAUGCAAGUCGAACGGUAACAGGAAGCAGCUUGCUGCUUCGCUGACGAGUGGCGGACGGGUGAGUAAUGUCUGGGAAACUGCCUGAUGGAGGGGGAUAACUACUGGAAACGGUAGCUAAUACCGCAUAACGUCGCAAGACCAAAGAGGGGGACCUUCGGGCCUCUUGCCAUCGGAUGUGCCCAGAUGGGAUUAGCUUGUUGGUGGGGUAACGGCUCACCAAGGCGACGAUCCCUAGCUGGUCUGAGAGGAUGACCAGCCACACUGGAACUGAGACACGGUCCAGACUCCUACGGGAGGCAGCAGUGGGGAAUAUUGCACAAUGGGCGCAAGCCUGAUGCAGCCAUGCCGCGUGUAUGAAGAAGGCCUUCGGGUUGUAAAGUACUUUCAGCGGGGAGGAAGGGAGUAAAGUUAAUACCUUUGCUCAUUGACGUUACCCGCAGAAGAAGCACCGGCUAACUCCGUGCCAGCAGCCGCGGUAAUACGGAGGGUGCAAGCGUUAAUCGGAAUUACUGGGCGUAAAGCGCACGCAGGCGGUUUGUUAAGUCAGAUGUGAAAUCCCCGGGCUCAACCUGGGAACUGCAUCUGAUACUGGCAAGCUUGAGUCUCGUAGAGGGGGGUAGAAUUCCAGGUGUAGCGGUGAAAUGCGUAGAGAUCUGGAGGAAUACCGGUGGCGAAGGCGGCCCCCUGGACGAAGACUGACGCUCAGGUGCGAAAGCGUGGGGAGCAAACAGGAUUAGAUACCCUGGUAGUCCACGCCGUAAACGAUGUCGACUUGGAGGUUGUGCCCUUGAGGCGUGGCUUCCGGAGCUAACGCUUUAAGUCGACCGCCUGGGGAGUACGGCCGCAAGGUUAAAACUCAAAUGAAUUGACGGGGGCCCGCACAAGCGGUGGAGCAUGUGGUUUAAUUCGAUGCAACGCGAAGAACCUUACCUGGUCUUGACAUCCACGGAAGUUUUCAGAGAUGAGAAUGUGCCUUCGGGAACCGUGAGACAGGUGCUGCAUGGCUGUCGUCAGCUCGUGUUGUGAAAUGUUGGGUUAAGUCCCGCAACGAGCGCAACCCUUAUCCUUUGUUGCCAGCGGUCCGGCCGGGAACUCAAAGGAGACUGCCAGUGAUAAACUGGAGGAAGGUGGGGAUGACGUCAAGUCAUCAUGGCCCUUACGACCAGGGCUACACACGUGCUACAAUGGCGCAUACAAAGAGAAGCGACCUCGCGAGAGCAAGCGGACCUCAUAAAGUGCGUCGUAGUCCGGAUUGGAGUCUGCAACUCGACUCCAUGAAGUCGGAAUCGCUAGUAAUCGUGGAUCAGAAUGCCACGGUGAAUACGUUCCCGGGCCUUGUACACACCGCCCGUCACACCAUGGGAGUGGGUUGCAAAAGAAGUAGGUAGCUUAACCUUCGGGAGGGCGCUUACCACUUUGUGAUUCAUGACUGGGGUGAAGUCGUAACAAGGUAACCGUAGGGGAACCUGCGGUUGGAUCACCUCCUUA